UUUGUCCAUUUAGAUUUAUCUAGGUGGAAUAAUAAGAAAAGGUAAGAUUCAAAAGAAUUUACAAAAAAGGGAUUUUUUUUAGUAUUUUAGAAAAGGUCGGUUAGGAGAGGAAGGUAUCUGUACUUGAAUAACUAUAAGCCAAACCUUCUAGAUGUUUCGACGCUUGAUUCUCCAAUAGGAUUGAAUCUAAGAUGAAUGCUUGGUUUACGUUAUGGAAGAAAGACAUGUAUAUGUGAUAUUAGAUAUUGACUCGUGCUAGUUAUAUAUGAAAUGAACUAAAGAUAUAUUUUACUACUCUAGGGGAUUCUAAUAGACUAGAAGUCCUUCCGGCCCCUUGUGACUGUGAAUUGAAUGAAUAAACGGAUGAAAUCAAGA
rnacentral:lncRNA from 1 species